rnacentral:rRNA from 1 species
AUUGAACGCUGGCGGCAUGCCUUACACAUGCAAGUCGAACGGCAGCACGGGAGCAAUCCUGGUGGCGAGUGGCGAACGGGUGAGUAAUAUAUCGGAACGUGCCCACUCGUGGGGGAUAACGCAGCGAAAGCUGUGCUAAUACCGCAUACGAUCUGAGGAUGAAAGCGGGGGAUCGCAAGACCUCGCGCGAGUGGAGCGGCCGAUAUCAGAUUAGCUAGUUGGUGAGGUAAAGGCUCACCAAGGCGACGAUCUGUAGCUGGUCUGAGAGGACGACCAGCCACACUGGAACUGAGACACGGUCCAGACUCCUACGGGAGGCAGCAGUGGGGAAUUUUGGACAAUGGGCGCAAGCCUGAUCCAGCAAUGCCGCGUGCAGGAUGAAGGCCUUCGGGUUGUAAACUGCUUUUGUACGGAGCGAAAAGGUUCUCUCUAAUAAAGAGGGCUCAUGACGGUACCGUAAGAAUAAGCACCGGCUAACUACGUGCCAGCAGCGGCCGUAAAAC